CCUGCACAUUUGUGAGCUAUAAUUUUUAUGAAGUUUUUUAAAACUUUUUUAAUUUUUUAAACACCACAAACUCAUGUCGGGGAAAGAAAAAGGUGAAACUAAUCUAGGCCUGUUCUGAUACAAACCUUAAGACAUUUAGCCUCUGGGGAUGCCUUGCUUGACCACACCCUCCUUCCUUGCUCCUGGCCUGGCCUGCCCUGCCCUGCCUCUUCCACCAAUCCAUUUGUUUCUUAUGGACAGAAAAGAGCAGAAGCGCUGAGUUGUUCGAUCAGGUCCAUUGUUGUUUACUGGCUGCAGUCGAACCCUUCUCUGCAUGCCACUCUACCUGCUAUGCAUGAGCAAUACCAAUAUGUGGCAGCUCGAUUUAUCCUCAUCUGACUGAUUUAUAUUUAAUCAAAUAUGGAAUUGAUUGCCAUUUCUGUUUUUUUUUUAUAAUGAAGCUGAAGCUGGAUGGAUACGUAUACUUUUACUUUCCACACAUUUUAAACAGCUACAAACUUGAUCUUUGUGAAACUUACCUCAUAUCGCAUCUCAUAACAGAAACACUUCUCAUUUUUGUAUCACACCAUUGAUUCACAUCUGGGAGGGGGUUGUAAACUAGGUUCUCGAUAUCAGACGUUGUUAUUUAUCAAUAAAAGUGUAUACCAUUAAAUACUGUAAAUCUUUAAAAUAUAGCCAACUGUUUUUAGCAAAGUUGGAACUAAAUUACCCGUAUAAACCAUUAUAGAUCAUAAAAACAUUCGGAAAAACACCCCUUGUCUACGUUUUGAAACAUCCCAAUUAGGUUCAGCAAGUGAGUUGGGCGUGACUUUUUGACAGUCAUUAGUUUCAACUUUUUUUUUCGUGCACUUGAAGCGGGGAAAGUUUGCGCGGCAGCGUGUUUAAUUUAUUCUGUUUUAACGGUUUUAGAAAUGGAUAUUCAGAAACAGAGAGAUGGAUUUCAGACAUCCCUAAAUUUGAAGCUGUCAAAUGGUUAUAUUUUACCUGAAGGUAGAAUGACACCAAACACACUUUUUGUUGGAGGAAUCGACAUGAAGGUGGAUGAGAAUGAAAUCCGGGACUUCUUUGCGAGAUUUGGUGCAGUGAAGGAAGUGAAAAUCAUCACUUACCGCGGCGGCAUCUGUAAAGGGUAUGGAUUUGUUUACUUCAAUGAAGAUGUCGACAUCCAAACCAUCGUUGACCAACAGAUAAGUUUUAAAGGGCGGAAACUGAAGCUGGGUCCAGCAAUCAUGAAGGAAAGGAGCUCACGUUCCAUGCCGUCUCACCUGGUUGGUCAGGUCCCCUGGAUGAGCCCCUCCCAGUACAUCUACUGCACCUGCUGCUCUCCUGUGGGCGUGGCUCAGCCCUCACCUAUAGUCAACGGGGGCAAUCCCUACAUCCAGCCUUACUCGUAUAACGGCCUUCAAGGAGUCAUGAUGCCACAGAUGCCCAUGAGCUACUCACAAACCGCCUACGCGUACCAGUACGCCUCACCACACUGGACCGGGGAGCAGAGGACACGGCUUGUCAACCAGCCGGCUCAUUAUUUGAUGUGAUGUGGUGCACCGUUUCCAGAACUUUGUGGACUGUGGAGUCCAGACUCUGCUGACUCUGCUGUAGCCCACUGACCCUCCUGUACCAGGGGGUGAUGUGUGCCAGUCUGCACUGCGACAAGAUGACAUCCUGGCCUUUGGAGUGCUAGAAGCAACAAACUUAAACUAUACAUUACCAGGAUGCUUUCUCUCCCUGACAUCCCUCCCUCGCUCGCUUUGAGACCCAUUUUAACACACCGACCGUGGCGGCUCAACACUUGCACCUGAUGGGCGUGGUCACUGACUGUGCUCCAUGAUUGGCUUGGCUAGAACCACGAUCCUGGGGUUUGGACCGCUUUUAAACCACCUCAACCACUGUCACGCAGGGAAGAGAGGAAGUAAUUUUGGUGCCUCUGCAUUUUCAUAACACAAGGCAAUGUGUGGUGUCACUUUUUCUUUUUUCUUCUUUUUUUUUAGUUUGUGGUUUUUGUUGGGUUUUUUGAUUGUCCCAAACCAAAAGACUUUUACGCUCACCUGUGCAUAUUUAUAUUUUAUUUUGUACUAUUUAUGUUGAAAUUAUUUUAAUGUCGGUUUGUUUGGGUUUAAGCUUUUAGCGGGCCUCUCUGUACAUAGAUUUGUAAUACAGUAAAUUCAUCUUUAGAAUAGUGAGAUCGAUUAACUUUCCCUUUAUUAAUUCACGUUCCAUCCCCAUACUGCUUCAAUUUAAGAUAAACUAGUGCUUGAAUUAUUAUGAGGGCAGCAUUGGGCACAACACUAACACAUAUUUCAGUUACUAUUUUUUUUGUUCCUGUCUUAAUAAGCUACUUUAGUCACCAUUUUGUUUUUCAUCACUGUAUUCCAAGUGCCUGCCUGCUUUUCUGUUAUGAGGGGUUUAUUUAGAAUUGGGAUGCACUGGUAUCUCGAGUGUUGCUGUUUCCAAAGUUAUGGAUCCUUUUAUUGUGGCACUGGUCAAUGUUUCUUAGGUUAUGUCCCAAAUGGCACCCUGUUCCCUAUUUAGUGCACUACUUUUGACUAGGGUUCUGAUCAAAAGUAGUGAACUAUAUAGGGUGCCAUUUGGGGAGUUGACUUGGACUGUUCCAGCUCUUCCAAGAGAAAAAUCACUGCGUCAAUUUCCCAUGAAGGUGUUGAUAAACUACUUUUAUAAUGCAGCCUGGGUCGGGAAAUCUUUUUUAAAAUUUUAAUUCACUCAAAUUAAGGACAUAACUAAAAGCAAUGUGUUCCAUCACUACAGUUUGAAGUUCACUUUAUUGAGAGAAAUUGUUGCACUGAUUUUAUUGUGUGUUUAAGAAGAGGGUUUUUUCCCGAGAUGGUGUCAUUUUGAUUUCAUGAAUGAAAAACCCUGAUGUAAUCACGUUUCAGGCCAAUGGGUUAAAUGGGAUAACAUUUGGAUACAUCGGGUCAUGGGUGGGAUUUCAUAUCCGUAACAUCCAGCGGUUUUCCCAGGUGUAUGUGGACCUAAGGUUUUGCCUGCCCUGGAUAACCUCUUCUAAAUGUACCCUCGGCAUGCAUAGUUGUACCUUGUCAUGGAUCUCUUGGUUUAGUUUUCUUUGUCAAUUCUCCUGCUAUGACCCAUGCUAUUCGGUACCCAAAUUUGUUUAAAAUGGCAUCCUAUUGCUUAUAGUGCACUACUUCUCUGGUCGAAAGUAACAUUUGGGAUGUAACCUAGCCAUUGAUCUUAAAGGAAUCUAAUCAUGUUGAUGGGAAUAUGAUGGUUAGAGCUUUUCUAGAUCACUGUACUGGUUUAAGUUGGGUUCUUGUUGAGGUGUUCUUGUUGAGGUGUUCAUGUUAACAAUUUAAGGUUUGGAUUUUGUUUAAAAAAAAAAGAUAUCUACAAAUAAAUUUGAAUGAAGUAAUCA